AUUGAACGCUGGCGGCAUGCCUUACACAUGCAAGUCGAACGGUAACAGGUCUUCGGAUGCUGACGAGUGGCGAAUGGGUGAGUAAUACAUCGGAACGUGCCUAGUAGUGGGGGAUAACUACUCGAAAGAGUGGCUAAUACCGCAUGAGAUCUACGGAUGAAAGCAGGGGAUCGCAAGACCUUGUGCUACUAGAGCGGCCGAUGGCAGAUUAGGUAGUUGGUGGGAUAAAAGCUUACCAAGCCGACGAUCUGUAGCUGGUCUGAGAGGACGAUCAGCCACACUGGGACUGAGACACGGCCCAGACUCCUACGGGAGGCAGCAGUGGGGAAUUUUGGACAAUGGGCGCAAGCCUGAUCCAGCAAUGCUGCGUGCAGGAUGAGGGCCUUCGGGUUGUAAACUGCUUUUGUACGGAACGAAAAGCCCUGGGUUAAUACCCUGGGGUCAUGACGGUACCGUAAGAAUAAGCACCGGCUAACUACGUGCCAGCCGCCGCCGUAACAC
rnacentral:rRNA from 1 species